rnacentral:rRNA from 1 species
GAUGAACGCUGGCGGCGUGCUUAACACAUGCAAGUCGAACGAAGCACUUUAUUUGAUUUCCUUCGGGACUGAAUAUUUUGUGACUGAGUGGCGGACGGGUGAGUAACGCGUGGGUAACCUGCCUUGUACAGGGGGAUAACAGUUGGAAACGGCUGCUAAUACCGCAUAAGCGCACGGCAUCGCAUGAUGCAGUGUGAAAAACGCCGGUGGUAUAAGAUGGACCCGCGUUGGAUUAGCUAGUUGGUGAGGUAACGGCCCACCAAGGCGACGAUCCAUAGCCGACCUGAGAGGGUGACCGGCCACAUUGGGACUGAGACACGGCCCAAACUCCUACGGGAGGCAGCAGUGGGGAAUAUUGCACAAUGGGCGAAAGCCUGAUGCAGCGACGCCGCGUGAGCGAACAAGUAUUUCGGUAUGUAAAGCUCUAUCAGCAGGGAAGAUAAUGACGGUACCUGACGAAGAAGCACCGGCUAAAUACGUG